rnacentral:rRNA from 1 species
GACGAACGCUGGCGGCGUGCUUAACACAUGCAAGUCGAACGGAAAGGCCCUGCUUUUGUGGGGUGCUCGAGUGGCGAACGGGUGAGUAACACGUGAGUAACCUGCCCUUGACUUUGGGAUAACUUCAGGAAACUGGGGCUAAUACCGGAUAGGAGCUCCUGCUGCAUGGUGGGGGUUGGAAAGUUUCGGCGGUUGGGGAUGGACUCGCGGCUUAUCAGCUUGUUGGUGGGGUAGUGGCUUACCAAGGCUUUGACGGGUAGCCGGCCUGAGAGGGUGACCGGCCACAUUGGGACUGAGAUACGGCCCAGACUCCUACGGGAGGCAACAGUGGGGAAUAUUGCACAAUGGGCGGAAGCCUGAUGCAGCAACGCCGCGUGUGGGAUGACGGCCUUCGGGUUGUAAACCGCUUUCGCCUGUGACGAAGCGUGAGUGACGGUAAUGGGUAAAGAAGCACCGGCUAACUACGUG